GGAUGUGAGGGCAAUCUGGCUGCAACAUCUGUCACCCCAUUGAUCUCCAGGGUUGAUUCGACUGAUCUGGCUGGCUAGGCGGGUGUCCCCCUCCUCCGUCACCGAUCCAUGUUGUGUCCCUCCCGAAGCUGCACGCUCGGUCGAAGAGGACGACCUUCCCCCCCCGAGGCGAGGACCGGUCUUUGGUCAAGGGUAUACCAGUAGCUGCGCUCCCCUGCUAGACCUCCAAACAAGCUCUCACAGUCCAUUUGUAGGAGAAUGUAGGGUAGUGAAGCUUCCAAGACUCCAGACACAUUCAAAUGAGGCGCUGCACAUGGCAGAGUGCCUUCCUUU
rnacentral:snRNA from 1 species